UGGGGAAUUUUGCGCAAUGGGGGAAACCCUGACGCAGCAACGCCGCGUGAGUGAUGAAGGCCUUCGGGUCGUAAAGCUCUGUCAGAGGGAAAGAAGUGCGAGAGGGUUAAUACCCCUUUUGCUUGACGGUACCCUCAAAGGAAGCACCGGCUAACUCCGUGCCAGCAGCCGCGGUAAUACGGAGGGUGCGAGCGUUGUUCGGAAUUAUUGGGCGUAAAGCGCGUGUAGGCGGUCUUUUAAGUCUGAUGUGAAAGCCCCGGGCUCAACCUGGGAAGUGCAUUGGAAACUGGGAGACUUGAAUACGGGAGAGGGUAGUGGAAUUCCUAGUGUAGGAGUGAAAUCCGUAGAUAUUAGGAGGAACACCGGUGGCGAAGGCGGCUACCUGGACCGAUAUUGACGCUGAGACGCGAAAGCGUGGGGAGCAAACAG
rnacentral:rRNA from 1 species